rnacentral:sRNA from 1 species
UGAGUCUUCGGAAGCAAACCCCUAGUGACUUCUUAAAGCAAAUCAUCGGACGACCAGUUGUGGUAAAAUUAAAUUCUGGAGUGGAUUAUCGAGGGGUCCUGGCUUGCCUGGAUGGCUACAUGAAUAUAGCCCUGGAGCAGACAGAAGAAUAUGUAAAUGGACAACUGAAGAAUAAGUAUGGGGAUGCAUUUAUCCGAGGAAACAAUGGUAACAUUUCUUCGCCCUACAGUACAGCAUUCAAAAUAAGCCUUUCUAUUUAUAAUCCAGAUCACCAAAGAGGUUUCUAGAUAAUUUAAAAGUCCAGUUUUAGGCUUGAUUAUUUUAAAAUGCUUAUAUGUCAGAUCUUCAGUUUGACCAGUUAUUUUGUAGAU